UACGUAGGGGGCAAGCGUUUGUCCGGAAUUAUUGGGCGUAAAGAGCGCGUAGGCGGUCCGAUAAGUCGGCUGACUGAAAGUCAGGGGCUCAACCCUUGAAACCGGCCGAUACUGUCGGACUAGAGUCCGGAAGAGGCAAGUGGAAUUCCCGGUGUAGCGGUGAAAUGCGCAGAUAUCGGGAGGAACACCAAUGGCGAAGGCAGCUUGCUGGGACGGUACUGACGCUGAGG
rnacentral:rRNA from 1 species